rnacentral:rRNA from 1 species
GACGACGGCUGGCGGCGUGCCUAACACAUGCAAGUCGAGCGGGGUUGAAGCGAGGGGUAACUCGAACUUCUACCUAGCGGCGGACGGGUGAGUAACGCGUGGGCAACCUGCCUCAAGGUCUGGGAUAACAGCUCGAAAGGGCUGCUAAUACCGGAUAUGCCUAUAGCCUCGCAUGGGGCUAUGGGCAAAGGGGAAACCCGCCUUGAGAUGGGCCCGCGUCCCAUCAGCUAGUUGGUGAGGUGAAGGCUCACCAAGGCGACGACGGGUAGCCGGCCUGAGAGGGUGACCGGCCACACUGGGACUGAGACACGGCCCAGACUCCUACGGGGGGCAGCAGUGGGGAAUCUUGCACAAUGGGCGAAAGCCUGAUGCAGCGACGCCGCGUGAGCGAAGAAGGCCUUCGGGUUGUAAAGCUCUGUCUGGAGGGACGAAGAAAGUGACGGUACCUCCGGAGGAAGCCACGGCUAACUACGUG